AACGAACGCUGGCGGCAGGCUUAACACAUGCAAGUCGAACGCACCUUUCGGGGUGAGUGGCAGACGGGUGAGUAACGCGUGGGAAUCUACCCUUCUCUACGGGAUAGCUCCGGGAAACUGGAAUUAAUACCGUAUACGUCCUGAGGGAGAAAGAUUUAUCGGGGAAGGAUGAGCCCGCGUUGGAUUAGCUGGUUGGUGGGGUAAAGGCCUACCAAGGCGACGAUCCAUAGCUGGUCUAAGAGGAUGAUCAGCCACAUUGGGACUGAGACACGGCCCAAACUCCUACGGGAGGCAGCAGUGGGGAAUAUUGGACGAUGGGCGCAAGCCUGAUCCAGCCAUGCCGCGUGAGUGAUGAAGGCCCUAGGGUUGUAAAGCUCUUUCAGUGGGGACGAUAAUGACGGUACCCACAGAAGAAGCCCCGGCUAACUUCGUG
rnacentral:rRNA from 1 species